GAUGCACGCUGGCGGCGUGCCUAAUACAUGCAAGUCGAGCGAAGCGGGGAUGGGCGAGUAACACGUGGAUAACCUCCUAUAAGACUGGGAUACCUUUGGGAAACCGGGGUUAAACCCGAUACUUAUUGAUGGAUUCGCGCUGCAUUAGCUAGUUGGUAAGGUAACGGCCUACCAAGGCAACGAUUCAUAGCCGACCUGGGAGGGUGAUCGGCCACACUGGGACUGGGACGCGGUCCGGACUCCUACGAGAGGCAGCAGUAGGGGAUCGUCCGCAAUGGGCGGAAGCCUGACGGAGCAGCGCCGCGUAAGUGAUGAAGGUCUUCGGAUCGUAAAACUCUGUUAUUGGGGAGGCGGUACCUAAUCAGGAAGCCGCGGCUAACUACGUGCCAACAGCCGCGGUAAUUC
rnacentral:rRNA from 1 species